UCACACAAAAACAAUAUUCUUUAAUAAGUAACCAAAGCGAAAAAAGAAGAAGAAAAAAGCUCUCGUCUUCCUCGUUGGCGUUACGGUGGCCGGUGGUUCUACCACUGGCCGGUCACCCUUCAGUUUGCUCUCUGUAGUUCUACUGGAGCACCGGCGAGACUAUUACCCAUGAUGUGAAGCCAGGGAAUUCGGGAUUGGAAGUGUUUCGUGUGGUUUUAACCGGAUCUGGGUCAGAUCUGGCGGACCUGUGAUAAGGUUGCAGUUGAGGCUUCCUCGGUGGUGAAGGGGUUCUCCUCCCUUGUCAGAUUUUGAUUCCGUUUGCCCACGAGCUCUCCACUUUUCGACCUGCGGAGACAUCCGUUUUAAGUGGUCUAGAAUAUCUGUUUUCCAUUGUUGUGUAAAAGUUUGUCUAUGCUUUGUUCUGCUCUCAAAGAGAAUCGCUGGCCCUCUUUUGGUUGUUUGGUCUCUAUACCUGCAAUUUUUCGAGUUCUUGAUGUGGUAGUGAAUGCUUCCUGUCUCCUGCUGCCGGUUUCUAUAUGUUUUCGGUGAGUUCGGGUGGGAUGAUUGACUUCGUUUUA